GGUGGAUGAGUGAGGUGUGGUGGUGGGGGCUGCUGCACUGGAGGGGGAGAAGAGGAGAAAGCCGUGGCUGAGGUGCUGUCCGUGAAGGACAGGCGACUCCCAGCAAACAAGCGGCACAAACAUUAGUUUGCGAUCACUUCCAAGCUUCUUCUCCAUCCUGCGUCUCACUGGUUUUAUUCCACAGCAGACGCAGCGAAGCAGGCUCGACUUCCUUCCCGUGGAGAUAAAUUCACUUUUACGCGCAAACUUGUCUGGACCGUUCGGACUUGAUCAAAGGCGGCGGAGGCGAACGCGCAGAAAUACCGCGGACUCUUUAACGCCCGCGCUAAACGUUUAUAGCGCUUUACAAUUGAAGCCGUGUGUGUAUGGCGGUGUUUUUUUUUUGUUGUUGUUGUUGUUGUGUUUGGGUGUUUUUUGUUUUGUUUUUGUUUGUUUUGCUUAUCUUCAGAAAUAAACCUCCCCUCAAAAAAAUAAAAAUUUAGAAACUCUGGAAAGCGUCUACAUACAGAGCAGGUGGUGAAUUUAAAAAAAGAAAAGAAAAAGAAGAAAGGUGGGUAAACUGUGACCUCCAGGCGGUAAUUAGGCCUACCAUUUGCCAAAUAACCGCCACUAUAAACAAAUGGGCCUAUCAAUUAGAUUUCCAGAAAGGACUGAUUGCUCCUUUUCAUGCCAGACUUGAACUAUUCCGCAAAUAAAAACAAGGAGUUUGGUGUGGUCUGCCUUCCAUUACAGCGCCGUGAUAGGCCAAAACAUGGUACGCAGAUGAACGGUAGACCUAGUUUAGUAGUCUGAUCAAACUUGUGGAGUGAGGAGGAAGCACAGGGAGGCCAGUUUGGUGAAAAAACAAAACAAACCCCCUCUUAAAGCUAAAUAUCAGAAAGUUGCAUGUGUGACUGGCCUGCUCUCCUCCUCCUGCUCCACCUUCACGCAUAGAUCCGGUUCAGCACAAUCACAAAUGAAAACAAACAGUAGUGGUGAGAAAAAGGUGUGUGUGUGUCAGUGUGUGAGUAAAUGUGUGUGAGCUCAAGCUACACCUUUGUUGGUGGGAAUGGGAGUGGGAGUAUUCCUGGUGCGCGACUCAUAUAAGCAUGCCUGAUGAUGUCCCGUUGCCCCCUCCCCUGGAAAAAAAAAAACAGAAUGCAAGAAAGCUUCUAGUCUCCUGCAGGAGACGAGAGUGCAUGGG
ensembl:lncRNA